UUCAUAAUUUUUGCCCAUCGGUACACGAGUUUUGGGUACUGUUAUGUAAUUUGACACAAACGUCAAGUCAUUAAAAAAUAAACCAACCUUUUCACCCAUAUCCAAAUAAAAGGUAGAAUUAAUUUCUUUUUUGCAUUAUUUUAAAAUUUUUUUACAAUUUAAAAUUGAGAAAAUGAUCAUAGAUCGUUGACAUUGAAUGAUCCAUUAAUCGUACAAUAUUAGGUUCGUCCAUCGACUGAAACAUUCAGUUCAUCAUCCAAAGAAAACUUUCGUCAUACUAAUCUCUUCUUACUCUUCAACUUGAUAUGUAUUUUCCUCAAGGCGUCGUUCUAACUCUGCUUUCACCUGUUCUAGUCGACUUUCAUUUACUAACAAUCGUUCUUCAUCGAUCUCUUCGAUAACGAUACCAGGAGACUGUUCGUCCAUGUUCAAAAUCAAUUGCUUAACGGUUGGGUCACAUUCAACCAAGAGUAAGCCUUUUUGUGCGCGUGGCAUUGCCUCAAAUUUGGUGUCUGCCAGCAGAAUCAUGGCAUGCUACAAGCUCCUUAAGCCACAGGUAUCAAGUUACCCAUGAUCGUUGGAUGCCGAAUGUAAGAGCAAACAAGAAUAAAUAUCAUGCAAGUUUGUUGUGUUAAAGAUGGUAAUGAAUUUGAUUAUUAUGAUUAUAUGCAAAAACAAAUUAUUUAUAUGAAUAAAACAAGUUGAGGUAUUUGAGAUCAGCAAAAAUUGAAAAAAUGAUAUGACCAUUUCGGAAACCUUUUGCUACCAUUGCUCAUUCCAUCCAGCCUCAUACUUUUGUCUUAACGGACAUAUGUAUUUUUAGAUUGACAAUAAACAUUUUCGUUUUUGUUGAUUAACAU